rnacentral:rRNA from 1 species
UACGAAGGGGGCAAGCGUUGUUCGGAAUGACUGGGCGUAAAGGGCGCGUAGGCGGUUCGUUGCGUCAGAUGUGAAAGCCCCGGGCUCAACCUGGGAACUGCAUUUGAUACGGGCGGGCUUGAAUCCAAGAGAGGGUGGUGGAAUUCCCAGUGUAGAGGUGAAAUUCGUAGAUAUUGGGAAGAACACCAGUGGCGAAGGCGGCCACCUGGCUUGGUAUUGACGCUGAGG